GCUCCAGGUCGUUUAAUUGGAAGGACGUUCUUGCCCGAGAGGCAAGAUUGUGUGGGUUCGAAUCCCACUCUGGAGCA
rnacentral:tRNA from 1 species